AAUAUUAUACUUUUAUUUAAAUAUUUAAUUUAAUAUUAUAUUAUACUUUUGCUAAAUGUAAAAACUUUUUGUUACAGGCAACUAGUUAAAGAAAUAUAUUUUUUAUUUGCUUUAAUGCGUUUUUUGAUAAGCGUAUGAAUUAAAUAUAUUUGCAGCCUUUAUUAAAAUAUGAUCAGAAACGGCCAUAGUACUUGAUGUUAAUACACCUGUGUGACAUAGUCAUUGAGUAGCUAUCGCAAUAAAGAAGGCUGCGAAAACGAUUUCCUCAACUUGAUCGUCGUAAAACAAAUUGGGGGCUAAGGUCAAACCUCGUGUAUGCGACCUUAGUGCCUGGUGGCAGCUCGUGUAUGCGAUUCACAGCACUUGUACUAUUGGUAGUUACCUUCUCUCUCUUUUCGUCACUUGAGCCGCGCGCAUGCACAUAAUGUGAGUCACACAUGACGAGUAAUCUGAAUUAAUCACAUCCUGCCCACUGUGUCAUUAAUGUCAUUGCCGUGUGUCGUCCGACUGAGAGAAUCGGACAAAAUAAACGAAAGAAUCGCCUUAAAUAUCUAAUCCUCCUAUCAAUGAAUUCAUUUCAAAAACGGACCCACCUAACAUGGCACCUACAAACCAAACUUGCCGACUUAUUGACUAGAUUACUGUUAACUAGUUAAACGAACCUGAUAAUAGUCGACUGAAGACAAUGGAAUAGUGGUAGAAACAUUACAUAGUUGAAAUUGCUCACUUCAAAGGACGAUACAUCUUGACACCACGCUUUCCAAGCAGUGGUAUUCACUGCGAUAUUCAGUGACAUUCGCGCCAAAACUUUGUCGAGCUGAUUCCUGAUUGGCUGGAGCGAAAUGACUUUUCAUUCGUUUACAGUUUAAAGCCGCGCGCCACACACAAAUUGAAUAGGGAGAUAAAUGUUUCACGGUUUAGGUUACGAAAUAUUUAUUUUUCUUACUCUGUCUGUCUCUUAUCGUGUGGUUAUUAACAAUUUUCUUCAUAUUAGGAACAAGAAAUAAUUUUAUGUAGCAAUAAAUCGAUUAGAUCACACGGAAUCAUCACUUAAUUCCGUAAGUAUACUUAAAUAUAAUUUAGAUAAGGUAUUCUAGGAAAACCGGUUUUAACUUGUUUUUCAGCAGUAUCAAAAAGUACACAUAGGUGUAAUACUUAGUUUCUUUAAUAUGUCAAGACUGACAUAAUGAAAUAAACAAUAUUGAUAUACAUAAACAAUAUGAUAUUUCAAGUUUCUGAAUUAAUAACUGCUAUUUAGAUUUGAAACAAGAUAUUGCUGUAUAUAUUAAUUUAAAUGCCGUCAUUUUUAGAUACUAUAUCCUAAAUCUAUGUAUGUACAAUAAGUAAAUUAUGUAUGUAAUAAUUUUAUGUAAAAAUAUUAAAUAAAAUAAUUGAAAAAACCAAAACCGAUAAUCUUUAAGAAAAUUCGUAUUAUUUGUACAAUAACUAGGUUAAUUAGUUACUGCAAUAUUUUUAUUAUUAACAAUAUGAUUAUUUCAUUUGAUCCAUUUUAUCGUAAUUAUGUUUAAAGAGUAAUAAUAAAAUCAAAAUAUGAAAGGGCUUUUAUACAUUCUGUUUAUUUUUCAUAACACAUUUCAAGCAUAAUGAUAUCAACAGCCAUGCCAUCUCGUCUUAAAUUAUUAUUAAAUAUUCAUGCUUAAAGAUCUUGUCGCCGCGAUUGAAGCGCUAGUUUCGAAAUCAAAGGUAAUAUCACAACGAUAUGGGAUAGAAAGUUCGUACACAUGAAAAGUUCUCGAAAGACAGAUUUCUUAGAAUACAUAUUGUUUGAAACUUUGGAACUUUUUCAUAGUAAUCCGGGUAUUAAUCUUUCUCUCGAUAAUUGUCAUUAGCAGCCACUGUUGUUUGCGAUUGUUCUGAUCGCUUUAAAGCUUUCUGAAGUUUGAAUUAAAUUUUCUUCUUUUUCAUUUACAACACAAAGUCAACAAAAGAAUCAAAGUAAUCUUAAAUUUGUUACUAUAUUCCUUUUGAGUGCGAUCAUCGAUUAUUUUCAGAUCGAUAGCAAAAACAAAUUGCAGUCUAUAGUAAAUACCAAUAUUUCAAGGGUUCAUAGCUUUGUGGAUUAUAAACCAUCCGAGUUAAAACGAUCGUUCAACAUACUCGUUUCAUCUCGUUCUAUGAUACUGACAGGUCUCUUGACAACUAUAUAUUGGCGCAGAUCAUAUUAAUAUCAACGGUAAUAUUCUUAAACAUCUAAUAAUCAAUGUCGUCAUAAUGGGUCUAAAUACAUAAUUUUUCUUAAUCGACAACAACAAAUGUAGGUGUACGAAGACCCAAAGCAAUAUUCCAGAACGACAAAAUUUAUAAUGAUUUCGCACUAUACUAAGUUCGAGUCUUCGUAGUCUACGGUAAAAUCUUAUUGAUCGAUACAGUAUUUUUGGUAACUAUUUUCUUUUUUGAUGUCGUAAUAUCACGUUCGGCUAACUUUUGUUGACGAACCUCUUCCCUAUACAUAAAAAGUUGCAAAGAUGUGAAAAGUAGAUGCAGUCAUGGGUAAUCGUAUUAUAUUAACUACUAAAGAAUAUUAACGUGUUCACGCUAAUUUCCUUUCCCGAGACAUCAAGUCGCGAUAUCUUGUUUUAACGGCUGAAAUUUAUUUCAGCAAGAUCAAAGCAGAAGUAGAGUUUUCUUGGCUCCGCAGUCGUUCAACGUUGCAAAUGCUUGAACCUCGAUAUUUAACUAUUUUAAUUAAGCGUUAGCGCUAAUAAUAGAAAAAUUCGAGUCGAUUUUACAAAGCAAUUGGUAAUCGUUGAGUCAGAAUCAGAGGGAAGUGGGGAACGUGAAGAUAAAUCUAACAUUAAGAACCAACGACACGGUGUCCCGACACAGAAAUUUGAUGUCAUGUUUUGUGAUCAUAUAUCUCAUAUAUCACACAUAUUCGUUCGUUUUUUUAUCGACUUCUCGACGAAAUCUUAAUGUAAUUCUAUAUCGGUAUUCCUCUCAAUUUUUCUCAUGUAAUACACCCUUUUAUAUGCAUCGAUUUCAAUUAAUCUCGUGCCUAACUGAGCGGUUCCCAACGCAUGUAUAUAACAUAGAUGAAACUUCAAAUGUCUUAUAGAUACAUACACAUAUCAUCAGAUAAUUUAACGAAUAGUAUUAUAAUCGGUAUGCAUGCAUAUAUGCGUUAUAAUAUACGAAUCACACUUAGAAUUAAUUUGACUUAUUCAGAUUAAUCGUCUUAAUUAGAAUAUUAUUUUGUUACCGUUCCUCUGUUUUCCUUAGCGUUCACAUUUCAUACAAUAUCGCGAGUUCUGUCGAAUUUUUACUAAUGUUACCGGCUACUCAGGAAUUACGUUAAAAUCAUCUUUAGUAAUAUUAACCUUAUGUGUAUUUAUAAUGUAUAUGUAUAUUAUAUAAUUAUCGUUACUUUAAAUGUAUAUAUAAUUUUAUAAUAUAUACUCCAUAUAUCUUUAAAUGUAUCUUAAAGCUUAAAAUUCCGCCACUUUUUUCUUUUCAUCAAAAUUUUCAUCUACUCUCAUACGCAUACGUCUCACGUACAUAAUUCGUCACAUACUUAAAGCGCUAAUUGUGUUAACGAUUAUCACACAGGAAACAUGUUCCAAAUAGAAUCUGGAGAAUAAACAUAGCUUGCAGGAUAGUGCAGGAUUGUUCUCGUUGAAAUUCCACCAUUUGGUUUCGAGAAACGGGCGUUCGGUUACGGCAAGCUAAGAAACUUUAAGCAUGAUUACUAAUAAUCCCACCGAACCUGAUUCAUGGCUAGUAGUUUUCUUCGGUAUCAAGCUUUUCCCGACUCUCUUUCAACUCUCUUUUUUCUUCUUCACGCUUGCGUGAAACGUAAUCUAUAUACUUUAACAACAGAUGUUCAUUAUUAGAAACAGCUCAUUCACAAUGAUGAAUAUACAUAUAUAAUCGUUCUCGAUCAGUGCACUGGAUACAAGUGUAAUAAUUCCUAUUAGUACUUUAUACCAUCAACGCAUAAUUCAUCAUCGUUUUCAUUAUCAUCGGUACCUUCGUCUUUUUUCCAUUAGUACGUUCUCAUUUUCAUUCCAUUUUCUUUUCCGUCUGCCUCAUCCUUCCUUCCUUUUUUUUUUUUUUUUUUCUUAAAAGUUAAUAGUGUCGUCGACGAUUAAUCUAUAUUAAGUUUUUUCUCAUAUCUCAAUAUGGCUCCGGGCGAGGACUCAAAAAUGAACGAUAAUAGUAAUAAUGGUAAUAGUAAUAAUAAUAAUAAUAAUAAUGAUAAUGAUAAUGAUGAGAAUAAUAAUAAUUAAUAUUAAUGACGACAAUAAUUAUAAUAAUAAUAAUAAUACUAAUGGUAAUUAAUAAUCGCACGUUACGUCGAUUAAUAAAUAGCAAUAAAAUUAUUGAUCUUGUUUUGGCAGCGCUCACAUUCGAAGUCGCCGCCCAUUCAGAUCGCUUCAUCUAUAGCCUUUGUACUAUCUUUUCGUCCAUAUAAUCAAGAGCGAUCGAUCCUUUUCUACGCUUUCAUCGAGAAUUUAAUGAAGAGAAUUUUCUUUUAACUCUGUAGCACCGAUCGCUUAUGCUAUCAAGGUCGAUUAUUUUCAUAUAAAUCGAUAAUUUCCAGUUAAAGUAGGAUUGCCAUUUCGCCAAUCCCAAAGAAAUAUCAUCGGUAUGAGAAUCGGUUAACUAUAGCUUAAUCGUUUUACGCAGUAUACAACACACAGGUAAAACAAUGUAAAAUGCAACGGAAUCUAAAAAUUUGUAUAUAAUAGAUAACAGAUCAUAUAAUGGCAGUAUAACUUUGGUAGUGAAUGUAUAAGCGUUUGCAAACAAUUAAAACGAGGGAUAAUGUUCCUCGUUGUUUGAUUAAGAUUAAAUUCACGACGUAAGCCCGCCCCGUCGUAAUUCGAAUAAGUAUCAUAAACCGCCAAGAAUCCCAGAUGCCAAGGGCGACGACCACCGCGCAAACGCUGUCCUUCGAAAAACGAACAAGCUCUCGGAACAACCAGCUUUGCUUCUAAAUUUAAGCCAUGAAGAAUGGAGAUCAGAUGACGGACAUUCGAUUUCGUUUACAUUAAGUACAUACCAUUAUCGUUGUUUGCUAUAAAGAAAAAUACAAAAAUAGGAAUAUCAAAUGUAAAAUUGCAAUUUACAAAGCAAAGGAAAUAUCGAUACGAUCAAGUAUCGGUUGAAAUACAAAAAUCAUCUCAGCGAGAUGAAAAAAGAGAGGAAGAAAAAUAAACUCCUCGCAAAAUGGUAAAAUCAUCACAUAGGAGAAUAUAAAUAGAUAGAAUAUUAAGUAGCAAAGAAAAUGAAGUACUAUCGAAAUAGAACACAAUUCCUCUGAUCUCCAGACUAUAGGAUACAACCUAUCGACUAUACGAUUGCGUGGACUAGCACUAGAUAUUAUCAUGCGGUACAAUAUAAUCAUAAAUAGAUAUUCCAUACGGUGUUGUACGAUUAUCACUAGGCUGAUUAAACUUUCCCGUGCAAACAGCGCGCUGUUUCUCGACAAAUCGAAAUCCAACGAAAUUUUGUUAUCUUCCACUCUUAUUUGCUUCGAAUCUUGUAACUAUGUACAUUUAUUAACGUUAAUGGCGGUAACUGCCGAAUUUGUUAUUUUCGCUUUCCAAUGUUCUUUCACUUUCCGAAAAAUUUGAGCAAUUCGACUAAAAUUCAGUUUUUCCUCUAAGUAUACGAAAGAAAAAAGAACACACAACGAAACAUAUCGAUUGCUUUCAUUCAAUAGUUUUGUAUUAGCCUUUCGAUAAUGAAAGGUAAUAACUAUCAUUAUUAUUUCUUUUCUUGAUCGUUUGAUUGAUUUUAUUUCUAUUUUAUUAAUACUUUCCAUUAAUACUAAUUAAUAACUAAAAUAUUAAUACUAAUUACUACUUUACGUUACCACCAUUAAUUAUAUCCACUGUAUACAACACAGCGUAAUCUACCUCCGUACUGGCGGAACUUAAAAUUAAAAUCCAAGGAUGACCUGUUUUUCAUUAAUUAAAUUAAAAGUUUUAUUUAUAAUUGCUUCACGCGCUCUUGCUAACAGUUUGCAAUAUUAUUUCCUCGUUCGAAAUAAUAAAAUAGAAAUCUAUUACAAAGCUAGUAAAAAUUGGAGGAUUUCCAAUCAAAAGUUCCACCGCACGAAACCUUCGGUAACAAUGCAAUCGUUCUUACCAAAUCAAUUAAUUAGUCUCCUGCUGUCUCGUUUCGAUGAGUUCAUUGACAAACUCGCAUGAAACAGACUCUCUUCCCUUCGACUUGUCUCUAUUAGCUUUUGUGUAUGCGUGUGCGCGUGCGCGCGUGUAUAUGAAUUUCGAUUAUUUCAGACAUCCCUCACCUUUCAUCCCGAAACGACGGAACUUUCGAUCGAGAUUCGCCGAGAGCCGCGUCCGAGAGCUUCUUCGUGGAAUUCGAAAUCAAAAGUUCCACCGUGCCGGGUGCACCGUACCGACGGGCAUAAAGACACUAACAUUUUGCUUUUUUUUUGUUUAAUACGUCUACGUGGCACGAACUAAGGGUAUCAAUUAUCCUCGGUGUACCCUACACGUUAGCGAGUCUCGUUGGCUAGGCGAAUAUCAAUAUAACUUCGAGAGAGAAAAAAAAGAGAAAAAAAGAACAUUAUACGUGCGUCAAAGCCCGCAACGAGACCAAGAAAUUAGCAGACGACGAAAAGCGAAAAAUUCGCAAAAGGGGCAAAAAAGUAAGGGAAACCUCUUACGCGCUCCAACUGAUAUCCCGAACGAUAUUUAGAUCACGAUGGUACGACCACUCCUCUUCGCCCCCGAUAAAAAGAAGUGAUACCGCCGCAGUUUUUUGUGCAGAAUUUUUCCGCUAAACUGUUUUUUUUUUUUUUUUUUGUGCAUCCUGAUA